GGUUAAGCGACUAAGCGUACACGGUGGAUGCCCUGGCAGUCAGAGGCGAUGAAGGACGUGCUAAUCUGCGAUAAGCGUCGGUAAGGUGAUAUGAACCGUUAUAACCGGCGAUUUCCGAAUGGGGAAACCCAGUGUGAUUCGUCACACUAUCAUUAACUGAAUCCAUAGGUUAAUGAGGCGAACCGGGGGAACUGAAACAUCUAAGUACCCCGAGGAAAAGAAAUCAACCGAGAUUCCCCCAGUAGCGGCGAGCGAACGGGGAGGAGCCCAGAGCCUGAAUCAGUGUGUGUGUUAGUGGAAGCGUCUGGAAAGGCGCGCGAUACAGGGUGACAGCCCCGUACACAAAAAUGCACAUGCUGUGAGCUCGAUGAGUAGGGCGGGACACGUGGUAUCCUGUCUGAAUAUGGGGGGACCAUCCUCCAAGGCUAAAUACUCCUGACUGACCGAUAGUGAACCAGUACCGUGAGGGAAAGGCGAAAAGAACCCCGGCGAGGGGAGUGAAAAAGAACCUGAAACCGUGUACGUACAAGCAGUGGGAGCACAGAGCAAUCUGUGUGACUGCGUACCUUUUGUAUAAUGGGUCAGCGACUUAUAUUCUGUAGCAAGGUUAACCGAAUAGGGGAGCCGAAGGGAAACCGAGUCUUAACCGGGCGUUAAGUUGCAGGGUAUAGACCCGAAACCCGGUGAUCUAGCCAUGGGCAGGUUGAAGGUUGGGUAACACUAACUGGAGGACCGAACCGACUAAUGUUGAAAAAUUAGCGGAUGACUUGUGGCUGGGGGUGAAAGGCCAAUCAAACCGGGAGAUAGCUGGUUCUCCCCGAAAGCUAUUUAGGUAGCGCCUCGUGAAUUCAUCUCCGGGGGUAGAGCACUGUUUCGGCAAGGGGGUCAUCCCGACUUACCAACCCGAUGCAAACUGCGAAUACCGGAGAAUGUUAUCACGGGAGACACACGGCGGGUGCUAACGUCCGUCGUGAAGAGGGAAACAACCCAGACCGCCAGCUAAGGUCCCAAAGUCAUGGUUAAGUGGGAAACGAUGUGGGAAGGCCCAGACAGCCAGGAUGUUGGCUUAGAAGCAGCCAUCAUUUAAAGAAAGCGUAAUAGCUCACUGGUCGAGUCGGCCUGCGCGGAAGAUGUAACGGGGCUAAACCAUGCACCGAAGCUGCGGCAGCGACACUGUGUGUUGUUGGGUAGGGGAGCGUUCUGUAAGCCUGUGAAGGUGUACUGUGAGGUAUGCUGGAGGUAUCAGAAGUGCGAAUGCUGACAUAAGUAACGAUAAAGCGGGUGAAAAGCCCGCUCGCCGGAAGACCAAGGGUUCCUGUCCAACGUUAAUCGGGGCAGGGUGAGUCGACCCCUAAGGCGAGGCCGAAAGGCGUAGUCGAUGGGAAACAGGUUAAUAUUCCUGUACUUGGUGUUACUGCGAAGGGGGGACGGAGAAGGCUAUGUUGGCCGGGCGACGGUUGUCCCGGUUUAAGCGUGUAGGCUGGUUUUCCAGGCAAAUCCGGAAAAUCAAGGCUGAGGCGUGAUGACGAGGCACUACGGUGCUGAAGCAACAAAUGCCCUGCUUCCAGGAAAAGCCUCUAAGCAUCAGGUAACAUCAAAUCGUACCCCAAACCGACACAGGUGGUCAGGUAGAGAAUACCAAGGCGCUUGAGAGAACUCGGGUGAAGGAACUAGGCAAAAUGGUGCCGUAACUUCGGGAGAAGGCACGCUGAUAUGUAGGUGAAGUCCCUCGCGGAUGGAGCUGAAAUCAGUCGAAGAUACCAGCUGGCUGCAACUGUUUAUUAAAAACACAGCACUGUGCAAACACGAAAGUGGACGUAUACGGUGUGACGCCUGCCCGGUGCCGGAAGGUUAAUUGAUGGGGUCAGCGCAAGCGAAGCUCUUGAUCGAAGCCCCGGUAAACGGCGGCCGUAACUAUAACGGUCCUAAGGUAGCGAAAUUCCUUGUCGGGUAAGUUCCGACCUGCACGAAUGGCGUAAUGAUGGCCAGGCUGUCUCCACCCGAGACUCAGUGAAAUUGAACUCGCUGUGAAGAUGCAGUGUACCCGCGGCAAGACGGAAAGACCCCGUGAACCUUUACUAUAGCUUGACACUGAACAUUGAGCCUUGAUGUGUAGGAUAGGUGGGAGGCUUUGAAGUGUGGACGCCAGUCUGCAUGGAGCCGACCUUGAAAUACCACCCUUUAAUGUUUGAUGUUCUAACGUGGACCCGUGAUCCGGGUUGCGGACAGUGUCUGGUGGGUAGUUUGACUGGGGCGGUCUCCUCCUAAAGAGUAACGGAGGAGCACGAAGGUUGGCUAAUCUUGGUCGGACAUCAGGAGGUUAGUGCAAUGGCAUAAGCCAGCUUGACUGCGAGCGUGACGGCGCGAGCAGGUGCGAAAGCAGGUCAUAGUGAUCCGGUGGUUCUGAAUGGAAGGGCCAUCGCUCAACGGAUAAAAGGUACUCCGGGGAUAACAGGCUGAUACCGCCCAAGAGUUCAUAUCGACGGCGGUGUUUGGCACCUCGAUGUCGGCUCAUCACAUCCUGGGGCUGAAGUAGGUCCCAAGGGUAUGGCUGUUCGCCAUUUAAAGUGGUACGCGAGCUGGGUUUAGAACGUCGUGAGACAGUUCGGUCCCUAUCUGCCGUGGGCGCUGGAGAACUGAGGGGGGCUGCUCCUAGUACGAGAGGACCGGAGUGGACGCAUCACUGGUGUUCGGGUUGUCAUGCCAAUGGCACUGCCCGGUAGCUAAAUGCGGAAGAGAUAAGUGCUGAAAGCAUCUAAGCACGAAACUUGCCCCGAGAUGAGUUCUCCCUGACCCUUUAAGGGUCCUGAAGGAACGUUGAAGACGACGACGUUGAUAGGCCGGGUGUGUAAGCGCAGCGAUGCGUUGAGCUAACCGGUACUAAUGAACCGUGAGGCUUAACCUU
rnacentral:rRNA from 1 species